rnacentral:rRNA from 1 species
CCUACGGGAGGCAGCAGUGAGGAAUAUUGGACAAUGGGCGCAAGCCUGAUCCAGCCAUGCCGCGUGCAGGAUGACGGUCCUAUGGAUUGUAAACUGCUUUUGUACAGGAAGAAACACUGGUUCGUGAACCAGCUUGACGGUACUGUAAGAAUAAGGAUCGGCUAACUCCGUGCCAGCAGCCGCGGUAAUACGGAGGAUCCAAGCGUUAUCCGGAAUCAUUGGGUUUAAAGGGUCCGUAGGCGGUUUGGUAAGUCAGUGGUGAAAGCCCAUCGCUCAACGGUGGAACGGCCAUUGAUACUGCCAGACUUGAAUUAUUAGGAAGUAACUAGAAUAUGUAGUGUAGCGGUGAAAUGCUUAGAGAUUACAUGGAAUACCAAUUGCGAAGGCAGGUUACUACUAAUUGAUUGACGCUGAUGGACGAAAGCGUGGGUAGCGAACAGGAUUAGAUACCCUGGUAGUCCACGCCGUAAACGAUGGAUACUAGCUGUUGGGAGCAAUCUCAGUGGCUAAGCGAAAGUGAUAAGUAUCCCACCUGGGGAGUACGUUCGCAAGAUGAAACUUAAUGAAUUGACGGU